AGUGAACGCUGGCGGUAGGCCUAACACAUGCAAGUCGAACGGCAGCACAGUAAGAGCUUGCUCUUACGGGUGGCGAGUGGCGGACGGGUGAGGAAUACAUCGGAAUCUACUUUUUCGUGGGGGAUAACGUAGGGAAACUUACGCUAAUACCGCAUACGACCUACUGGUGAAAGCAGGGGAUCUUCGGACCUUGCGCGAUUGAAUGAGCCGAUGUCGGAUUAGCUAGUUGGCGGGGUAAAGGCCCACCAAGGCGACGAUCCGUAGCUGGUCUGAGAGGAUGAUCAGCCACACUGGAACUGAGAAACGGUCCAGACUCCUACGGGAGGCAGCAGUGGGGAAUAUUGGACAAUGGGCGAAAGCCUGAUCCAGCCAUACCGCGUGGGUGAAGAAGGACUUCGGGUUGUAAAGCCCUCUUGUUGGGAAAGAAAAGCAGCAGGUUAAUACCCCGCUGUUCUGACGGUACCCAAAGAAUAAGCACCGGCUAACUUCGUG
rnacentral:rRNA from 1 species